UACGAAGGGGGCUAGCGUUGCUCGGAAUCACUGGGCGUAAAGCGUGCGCAGGCGGUUUUGUAAGCCAGAUGUGAAAUCCCCGGGCUCAACCUGGGAACUGCAUUUGGGACUGCAAGGCUUGAGUACGGCAGAGGGGGGUAGAAUUCCUGGUGUAGCAGUGAAAUGCGUAGAUAUCAGGAGGAAUACCGAUGGCGAAGGCAGCCCCCUGGGUCGAUACUGACGCUCAUGCACGAAAGCGUGGGGAGCAAACAGG
rnacentral:rRNA from 1 species